rnacentral:misc_RNA from 1 species
UCACUACUUGCGUAGGCAGUCUUUCUAGAGUGCCCGGCAUUAUCCGGUAGCAACUAGAAACAAGGGUUGCGCUCGUUGCGGGACUUAACCCAACACCUCACGGCACGAGCUGACGACAGCCAUGCAGCACCUGUACAGAUUCGCCUUGCGGCACGGGAACUUUCAUUCCCCUUAAUCUGCGUUUCAAGCCCAGGUAAGGUUCUUCGCGUUGCAUCGAAUUGAACCACAUGCUCCACUGCUUGUGCGGGCCCCCGUCAAUUCCUUUGAGUUUCAACCUUGCGAUCGUACUCCCCAGGUGGAAUACUUAAUGCGUUAGCUGCGACACUGAAUUUUUACAUCCAACGUCUAGUAUUCAUCGUUUAGGGCGUGGACUAC